UCUGAGACACGAAUCCAGGCCCUACGGGGUGCAGCAGGCGCGAAAACUUUACAAUGCUGGCAACAGCGAUAAGGGAACCUCGAGUGCCAGGUUACAAAUCUGGCUGUCGAGAUGCCUAAAAAGCAUUUCAUAGCAAGGGCCGGGCAAGACCGGUGCCAGCCGCCGCGGUAACACCGGCGGCUCGAGUGGUAACCGUUAUUAUUGGGUCUAAAGGGUCUGUAGCCGGCCGGAUAAGUCUCUUGAGAAAUCUGGCAGCUUAACUGUCAGGCUUUCAGGAGAUACUGUCUGGCUCGAGGCCGGGAGAGGUGAGAGGUACUUCAGGGGUAGGGGUGAAAUCUUGUAAUCCUUGAAGGACCACCAGUGGCGAAGGCGUCUCACCAGAACGGACCUGACGGCAAGGGACGAAAGCUAGGGGCACGAACCGGAUUAGAUACCCGGGUAGUCCUAGCCGUAAACGAUACUCGCUAGGUGUCGGCCACGGUGCGACCGUUGUCGGUGCCGUAGGGAAGCCGUGAAGCGAG
rnacentral:rRNA from 1 species